rnacentral:tRNA from 1 species
UGAGGUAUAGCUCAGUGGUAGAGGGCAUGCCUAGCAUGCACAAGGUCCUGGGUUCAACCCCCAGUACCUCCA